GCUGGCCCCUGCCCUGUUUCCUCGCACCUCUUUCACCAGUCAACUCAUUGGCCUACUCUCUCUCUCUCACUCUCUCUCUCUCUCUCUCUCAGCCUACAUUCACAUAUACAUACAUAGACUCUCUCGAAUAUGUUUCUCUCACAAACACAUGAGCUGGUGGGAGAUUCCGUGUGUGGGAUAAUUCGAGCUGUAUUUGGAAGGCCUAUUGUUGGCACCCCACCCCACCACCACCACCACCUCCACCUAUAUAUACCCCUUUGGUUCACUCCCUUUUCUCAUCAAAAACUAUAACCCAUCUACCAAAAAAGCUACUAAUUGUCACUACUGAUAGUACUCUCUCUGUACUAUUUCUAUUCCAUCUGUUAUUGUUACAUAAUCAUGGAAUUCAUCUGCUUAUGUUUUUUCUUAAUUGCAGCCUUAAUUUUGUCCCUCAAUGCCAUCCUUAAAUUCUUCUCCUUUGGCCAAGUGAAAUUGCCACUCCCACCAGGCACCAUGGGAUGGCCUUACAUAGGAGAAACCUUUCAACUUUAUUCCCAAAACCCAAAUCUUUUCUUUGCUUCCAAAGUCAAAAAGUGAGUCCAAAUUCUUAUUUCUUAAUUUGAUGUUCAAGACUUACUUGAUUUACAGAUUUCUUACAUAAUUUUUUUUACUAGGUAUGGUUCUAUAUUCAAGACUCACAUAUUGGGG
rnacentral:lncRNA from 1 species